ACUGUAAAUCUUGAAGAUAUUCUUAAUCACAGCCACCUCAUUUCUAUCCGCUUUACACAUAAAUAGACUGUCAUCUGCGAAUAGAAGGUGAUGGAUAGCUGGUCCAUUUGGAGAGAACCUGAUACUACUGAUGAGGCAUUGACAUUCAGCCCGAUUCAUAAGGUGAGUGAGAUCUUCUGAGCACAAGACGAACAGAAACGGUGAAAGAAUAUCUAAUUGAUUAGAAGUGAGAAGGAGACCGAAGUGAUCAUAAACAUGAUCCAUUGCACCCAUUUCUGAUGGAAUCUCAGCGCCUCUAGCAAAGCUUUAACAUAAUUCCACUCCACUUUGUCAAAAGCUUUUGACAUGUCUGAUUUGAUGGCUAUGAACUCUUUUGACACAGUUCGAUGAGUAUGCAACCCGUGAACAACCUCAUGAGCUAUGAGAAUGUUAUCUGAAAUCAACCUAUCAGUCACAAAGGCGGAUUGAUUAGGAGAAACCAGAUCAGAGAGAAAGGGUUGGAGACGUCUAACCAUAAUCAUUGAGAUGAUCUUGUACAGAACUGAACACAAACUUAUAGGUCUCAAAUCAGACAUCUUGACAGGAUUUUUCUUU
rnacentral:sRNA from 1 species